GUGAGACCUGCAGAAGAAACUUGCCUGUUCUCCAGCCACGGGAAGCUGAAGGCCCCCACUCCCAGGGAGAAAUACGCCACGGGAUCAAACUGCUGCCACUGUCCAGAAAGCCCGACUCCAUCUGGCCGCAGCACCGACCCCCUCCCUGCCUCCCUCCACCUGCCAGGGGCCCGAGUUCCUCAAAAUCAGGAUGUCAACGCUACUGCUCCUUGCGGGGGGCGAGAGGGAGCGGGAAAGCCCAGGGCCCCGCCGGGGGGUUGCAGGUAAUGUGGUUCUGACUCACUCAACAACCAUAAGCUUCCCGAACAAUCCCCACGUGCUAUGUACCAGGCGUGGGAGAUGGGGACGGACAGAGACAGGUUCCUGUCCCCGUGGGCCUGCGGUGUGGGAGGCGGACACAGACCAGCAGUGAGGAAACAAAACAGCAGUAGGUCACGGUGACAAGAAGAUGGUGGGGUCACUUAGGCUUCUGUGAAGAGGGGACACGUGAGCUGAAGCUUAACCAAUGAGCCAGGCUAUGACGACAGGGGAAAGGACGCUUCCAGGUGGCAGGGCUGCGGACACAAAGGCAGGGCAGAAACAAAGUUGGCCCGUUGAGGGAAGAGAAAGGCCAGGCCGACAGGUUCUGUGACCGACCAAAGGGAGCCAGAGAGACGCUGUGCCCAUUUCCGGGCCCAGACCUUCAGACACUGGCAGCUUCCACUCUUGCAGUGCCCCCUCUCCAGGGGAAGCCAGACAACGGGAGGCCUGACCACACCUCGAGGAGACGGCAGCCUGCCACGUGGAGGAGGGCAGCCUGGCCGUUCCCCCUGCCCUUCUGGGCACGGGAGCCCAGGCACCACACACGCAAGUGAGGAAGUCGCCUUGGACAGCCCAGCUGCAGCAGGUGGGCCCCCGCCAGCAAGUCGGAACCGGGGCCCCAGGGACCGCAAAGUUCACGCAUCACCCGACCUCAAACCCUGAGACAGAUCCUGACUGAGCAACUGCUGGAGGCCAGGCUACGUUGAAGGCCCACACCAAAUCAAGAUGGCGGCUCUCACUCUUGAUCUCGGGGUCGAGAUCAAGACACACGUUAACAGAAAGGCCAAGAGUGACGCUAAAAGCAAGUGACAAACCAGACAGUACACGACACGCGCUUCCAGUGGCCUGGGCCUCUAGCAUAUGCUCAUACGGCCAGCUGUUCCAGUAUUGUUGCUGUUACUACCACGUCCUCUGAACAAAGAACGGAGCAGACACUCCGGAUCCUGACUCCAUCCCUCCCCUCCGCUUUCUGGUUUCGUUUUGUUCUGUAAGCUCGCUCUACGCCCAACGUGGAGUUUGAAUUGACGACCCCGGAUCUAGAGGCACCCGCUCCACUGACAGCCAGCCGGGCGUCCCUCUGCUUUGCUCUGAAUACGGCAGUGCUCACGGUCUAUUCGUGUUUAGGUUGUUCGGAUUUUUUAAAUGAUUAUAUGAUAUUGUUGCGAUCAGGAAAAAAAAAAAAACGCUAAAGGUUUCUGUCAAGCCUGUGAGGUCUGUGAAAAAGGAAGGAGUCAAAUGCUAUGAAACACCACAUAAGUGCAGGGCUGUGCGAUUCAACACCCGUUCCCAGGCAGGGAUCUCGGGACUGACGUGUGACGCUGCGGCCCAGAUGCCUGCCCCACCCCACCCCCGCGUCUGGGGAUCCAAGCACCUCAGGGAGCCUGCAGGGUGCAGGGGUAUCCUUCUUCCCCUUGCCAAGUGGAAAGCAGACUAAGCACCCUUGUAGAGCACACAAAUCUAAUUGUUAAUUGAAAGCAAAUCAGUAUGACCAGGGUAACCGAAUCAGAGGCGCAGAUCAUUCCAGAUACGAGUGCACUAUCACACAAAGGGCCCUUUCCCUAAAAGCCUCUGCCUUUCAAUGGUCCUUUCUUUAAAAAAGUAAUAAAACUUUAUGUACAUUCAAAAAAUUGUAGGUACCUUUUUAUUAUUUUUAUUUAAAAAUUUUUUAUUUUUUUGACA